AAUUAACGCUGGCGGCGUGCCUCAGACAUGCAAGUCGAACGAUUAAAGCUCUCUUCGGAGAGUGUAUAGAGUGGCGCACGGGUGAGUAACACGUAAGUAAUCUACCCUCGAGUGGGGAAUAACAACCGGAAACGGUUGCUAAUACCGCAUAAUGCAGCGGCACCGCAAGGUGACAGUUGUUAAAGAUUUAUCGCUUGAGGAGGAGCUUGCGGCAGAUUAGCUAGUUGGUAGGGUAACGGCUUACCAAGGCUACGAUCUGUAACCGGUCUAAGAGGACGUCGGUCACACUGACACUGAAUAACGGGUCAGACUCCUACGGGAGGCAGCAGUCGGGAAUUUGGCAAUGGGCGAAAGCCUGACCC
rnacentral:rRNA from 1 species